GGUGGAUACCAUAAACAUGUAAGGGUACUAUCGGGAUUGGUUGUUGCCUUCUCCACUGUAGGAGGGCCGGGCAGAGACGCUUCACCAAGAGAAUUUUUGAGGAGAAAAAUGCCUGGGGCCUUUUCUUCCCACUACCUACUCCAGUGGAGGCUUCCCGUCAGAAAGGAGCAAAUCUGAGGACUUCCCUUGUGGCUCACAACAGAAAGGAGCAAAUCUGAACAUUUUAAAAAAAAUCAAACUCGGGUAAUUAAUACUGACAACUUCCCUAGACAUCUUGUCUAAAGUUGUAAACCACCUUCCACCAAAAUCCCCUCUCUCCUUUCCUGCUUUAUUUUUCUUCUUAAUACUCAACACUAAAAUUCCAUAUACUUUACUUAUUUUUUCCUUGUUUGAUAUCUGAUCACACUGGAAAGUAAGUUUUAUGCCGACAAGGAGUUUGCUAUUGUUAAAAAACAGCUAUAUUCUCAGUGUCUAAAGAGUGACUAGCACAGAGUAGAUGGUCAAUAAAUGCAUAUUAAGUGAAUGAACA
rnacentral:lncRNA from 1 species